CAGUAGCCGCGGUAAUACGAAGGGUGCAAGCGUUAAUCGGAAUUACUGGGCGCAAAGCGUGCGUAGGCGGUGAGUUAAGUCUGCUGUGAAAUCCCCGGGCUCAACCUGGGAAUGGCAGUGGAUACUGGCUCGCUAGAGUGUGUCAGAGGAUGGUGGAAUUCCCGGUGUAGCGGUGAAAUGCGUAGAGAUCGGGAGGAACAUCAGUGGCGAAGGCGGCCAUCUGGGACAACACUGACGCUGAGGCACGAAAGCGUGGGGAGCAAACAGGAUUAGAUACCCCCGUAGUCCCUGUCUCUUAUAC
rnacentral:rRNA from 1 species